rfam:Pseudomonas alkylphenolica strain KL28 chromosome, complete genome.
UUGAGCCGUAUGCGCUGAAAGGCGCACGUACGGUUCUUAGGGGGGAACUGGCCAGUAAUGGUCAGUUCCCACCCGAC